rnacentral:rRNA from 1 species
CCUACGGGAGGCAGCAGUGGGGGACAUUGCACAAUGGGGGGAACCCUGAUGCAGCGACGCCGCGUGGGGGAAGAAGCGCCUAGGCGCGUAAAGCCCUGUCGGCAGGGAAGAAAAUGACGGUACCUGAAGAAGAAGCACCGGCUAACUACGUGCCAGCAGCCGCGGUAAUACGUAGGGGGCAAGCGUUAUCCGGAUUUACUGGGCGUAAAGGGGGCGCAGACGGCGUAGCAAGCCAGGUGUGAAAGCCUGGGGCUCAACCCCGGGACUGCUUUUGGAACGGUGAGGCUGGAGUGCAGGAGGGGUAGGUGGAAUUCUUGGUGUAGGGGUGAAAUGCGUAGAGAUCAGGAGGAAUACUGGUGGCGAAGGCGACCUGCUGGAACGUAACUGACGUUGAGGCCCGAAAGCGUGGGGAGCAAACAGGAUUAGAUACCCUGGUAGUC